rnacentral:tRNA from 1 species
GGACUUGUAGCUCAAUGAUAGAGCAGCCGUAUCGUAUCAACGUUAUGGUACGUGCAUUUUGUGGGUUUGAAUCCCAUCAAGUCCU